AUUGAACGCUGGCGGCAGGCUUAACACAUGCAAGUCGAGCGGGGGAAGGUAGCUUGCUACCGGACCUAGCGGCGGACGGGUGAGUAAUGCUUAGGAAUCUGCCUAUUAGUGGGGGACAACAUCUCGAAAGGGAUGCUAAUACCGCAUACGUCCUACGGGAGAAAGCAGGGGAUCUUCGGACCUUGCGCUAAUAGAUGAGCCUAAGUCGGAUUAGCUAGUUGGUGGGGUAAAGGCCUACCAAGGCGACGAUCUGUAGCGGGUCUGAGAGGAUGAUCCGCCACAAUGGAACUGAGACACGGCCCAGGCUCCUACGGGAGGUAGCAGUGGGGAAUAUUGGACAAUGUGGGGAACCCUGAUCCAGCCAUGCCGCGUGUGUGAAGAAGGCCUUAUGGUUGUAAAGCACUUUAAGCGAGGAGGAGUCUCUUUUGGUUAAUACCCAAGAUGAGUGGACGUUACUCGCAGAAUAAGCACCGGCUAACUCUGUGCCAGCCGCCGCCGUAA
rnacentral:rRNA from 1 species